AGAACGAACGCUGGCGGCACGCCUAACACAUGCAAGUCGAGCGCCCAGCAAUGGGAGCGGCGGACGGGUGAGUAACACGUGGGAAUAUGCCUUUCGGUACGGAACAACUCAGGGAAACUUGAGCUAAUGCCGUAUACGCCCUUACGGGGAAAGAUUUAUCGCCGAAAGAUUAGCCCGCGUCUGAUUAGCUAGUUGGUGAGGUAAUGGCUCACCAAGGCUUCGAUCAGUAGCUGGUUUGAGAGAACGACCAGCCACACUGGGACUGAGACACGGCCCAGACUCCUACGGGAGGCAGCAGUGGGGAAUCUGGACAUGGGGAAACCCUGAUCCAGCGAUGCCGCGUGAGUGAUGAAGGCCUUCGGGUUGUAAAACUCUUUCGACGGGACGAUAAUGACGGUACCCGUAGAAGAAGCUCCGGCUAACUUCGUGCCAGCAGCCGC
rnacentral:rRNA from 1 species